UCUUUCCCAAGUAAAUCACUACCCUCUAUAUCCCAGAUCAAUGAGUGAAUAGUCAUCUAUAACUUCUUGAAAUCUAUCUGUAGAGGCCCAUUUUUAUCCAGCCCAAACAAACCAAAUUAGAAAAAAAAACAAAAAAACCAAAAUUCAUAAAAGUACAUUAAAAAAGAGGAGUCCAUUUACAAAAUACAAGCCCAAACCUAAACUACCCUAACCUAAUUUGUUAGCCCAAUUACCUAAACUACCUACAAAGCCCAAAAACUUGAAGCCCAAAGCCCACUAAACCUAAACUAGUAGAAAUCCUAAUUUCCCCCUCAAGCCUUCAGCGCCACUCCCUCGCCACGUCAGCAAGCACGCCUCCAACUAUUACCCGUACCUCUCAUUGCCUCCACCACCUGCAAAAAGAACAGAGACAGAGAAACAGAAGAAGGAAAGAAACAAAUAUAAAGAAAAAAGAAAAAAUGUUGUAAUAUUCAGCUAUAAAGCUGAAGCCACCAUGUAACACGAAAAAAAAAGAAUACAAAAAAAAUCAACAAAGUUUAAAAUGUAGUUCAUUUACUGUUUCUUUAUUUUUUUUUCUUCGAAGAACACAUAUAUAUAAAUAAAUAAAACACCAAAAGAUUAAAAAAAAAUUUACCUGUUAAGCGCCA
rnacentral:lncRNA from 1 species